rnacentral:rRNA from 1 species
UAGUCCAUGCCGUAAACGUUGGGCACUAGGUGUGGGGUCUAUUCAACGGACUCCGUGCCGCAGCUAACGCAUUAAGUGCCCCGCCUGGGGAGUACGGUCACAAGAUUAAAACUCAAAGGAAUUGACGGGGGCCUGCACAAGCGGUGGAGCAUGUGGUUUAAUUCGACGCAACGCGCAGAACCUUACCAGCUUUUGACAUCCUGGUCGCGGAUUUGGGAGACCAUUUCCUUCAGUUCGGCUGGACCAGUGACAGGUGCUGCAUGGCUGUCGUCAGCUCGUGUCGUGAGAUGUUGGGUUAAGUCCCGCAACGAGCGCAACCCUCAUCCUUAGUUGCCAGCAUUUAGUUGGGCACUCUAAGGAAACUGCCGGUGAUAAGCCGGAGGAAGGUGGGGAUGACGUCAAGUCCUCAUGGCCCUUACAAGCUGGGCUACACACGUGCUACAAUGGCGAUGACAGUGAGCAGCUAACCCGCGAGGGCAAGCUAAUCUCUAAAAGUCGU